rnacentral:rRNA from 1 species
GACGAACGCUGGCGGCGUGCUUAACACAUGCAAGUCGAACGGACAGGUCCUGAUCUUGUGGGGCGCUCGAGUGGCGAACGGGUGAGUAACACGUGAGUAAACUGCCCUUGACUUUGGGAUAACUUCUGGAAACUGGGGCUCAUACCGGAUAGGAGCUCCUGCUGCAUGGUGGGGGUUGGAAAGUUUCGGCGGUUGGGGCUGGUCUCGCGGCUUAUCCGCCUGUUAGUGGGGUAGUGGCUUAACAAGGGUUUGAGGGGUAGCCGGCCUGAGAGGGUGACCGGCCACAUUGGGACUAAGAGAGGGCCCAGUCGCCUACGUGAGGCAACGGGGGAAGAUAUGACGCAACGGGGGGGAGCCAGUGGCAGCAACGCCGCGUUCGGAAUAACGGGCUACGGGUGGAAAACCGCUUCGGCCGUAAAUGAGCCGGGAUUGACGGUAAUGAGUAAAAAAGCACCGGCUAACUACGUG